UUGAGAGUUCACAUACUGUACAAAUAUACAGAAAACAAUACUGGGUGUCCUGAAAAUCUUAAUUUGAUUUGAAGAAACUGUGAAGAGAGGAAGAGAAUAAGAAAGCAAGGGUCAUUUAUUUAUACAGACAGAAGGGGAGUACUAGCAUACAUAAAGACAAUGUAGAAAUAAAAAGAAUAAUAAAGGGCAUGCAAAGAAGGACUGGAAGCCAACAAUAAAUGGGUACAAUGCUAGAAGAGCAGGUGUGUUUUCACUCAGAGGAAGCAGCUACAGAUUUGAAAAUGACUUAGCAGCUGGUGUAAAAGAUGACUGAAGCUGUGCCAGAAAAAGUCUAACGAAUCAAUGCUUAUGUGUAAAAUCUCCUGAGCACUUGUCUCUAUGGCAAAAAAAAAGGCACCGAUUUUAGAGAAAAUGAAUUUCCAAGGUAAGUGUUUUCCCUAUGUUUUUCUACAGAAAUUCAGUUUCACUACACAGUGGUUUGGGGGAAAAGGGGAAAAUACACUAUAAGGAUAAAACUCAAACAGAGCUCAAGGGUCUGCACAAUUAAGUUCCUUUGGAGCUUAGCUAAGAAUCAGUCGGUUGGCUAUUCUCUCAGAAGUAUUUCACCCUCCAUCUUGUAGCACUCUCUCUAUAUGUAACACAGAUUAUGUUCUAUAUAGAUGAAUAGCAUUAGUUCUACAAAGCUGUUGCUGCUUUCUGGUGGUGUCAUUACCAACACAGGCUUUUUCUUCACAUACU